rnacentral:lncRNA from 1 species
AGCGUCCCCGUUAAGAGGGCGUCCCACGUGCAAAUCCCUCGGCGCAAGCGAUAUCUCUGCCUCGCGUGUGGGGAGCCCUGCCCCGGCCCCGGGGCCUGGGAACAACGGCCCGUUAAAGUGAUCGCCCCCGUCUGUGACCAUCAGGUCUUGCCUCAUUAACUGCUGAUUGAAGCUCUGCUUGGCCCUCUGGGAUACCUAACACCCCAGGCCUAUCACCAGAUGAACCCCUGGUUAGGCGCUUUUGCCUUCGCCUGUGUUGCUUUGCACAGCUCCUUGACCUCAACCUUCUUACGAAUGUUUAUCCUUCUACCAGACAAACAAGUUCAUUCCCUGAAGUAAAACUAUCUGGGCAAAUGGAGCUGAUUUCACCUCUUGGAUCCUGUAUCAGUAUGUACAGUCAGUCGGGGAGCAGGGACAAUUUCAGUGAGAGGUGCGUGACCCCCCAAAAAGGUGAAGAAUCAAAGCAACAGAGCUAG